rnacentral:sRNA from 1 species
AUAUAAUAUACGAAGGUGCAGUAUUCUAGUCGUUAUUUAUAUACUAGGAAGAUGAAGCAAAUGGCAUCGAUGGCAUAUCUGUGAAGUUUCUGGUGUUUGCUUUGGUUGCCCAAACUGGGGCAGAUGCUGGAAGUUAAGAUUAUUGGGCGCACUAUAACGGCAUAUAGUAUCCGACCCAAUUUUCGUGGAGACUCAGCAGGGUGAAUUCUCACUCUCUGAGAAGAACCUGCAAUGCGGUAAAAGUCGUGUGCAGCGUAGCCUACUUUGAGUGGAUAUAAGGGAAUUAGGUAUCAACGUAUAAAAUUUAUUGGCCAAUAGAUUUUAUGCCUGCUUAUGAAACUAUAUCUGCAAAACAGGAGAAUAGUAUAUAAAAGCGUUAAGGAAAACUUCUAGACUGUUACUUAGUAGGCAUUGUAAGGAUUAUAGUGUGUUCUGAGUGGCGAUUCGGUGAUAGGUCUUGUUUAAAAGGAAACUGCUUAAACGGUGACGUUGAGUGCGAGAAUGGGAAAUCCAACCGAACCUAUGACACAAGGUUUACUUACAAUGUUACCUUCUUUAU